rnacentral:rRNA from 1 species
GAUGAACGCUGGCGGCGUGCCUAAUACAUGCAAGUCGAACGCAUUGUGGUUGAAAUGAUAUGAAGAACUUGUUCAGAUUUGAUUUUCAACAUUGCAAUGAGUGGCGAACGGGUGAGUAACACGUGGGAAACCUACCUCUUAGCAGGGGAUAACAUUUGGAAACAAAUGCUAAUACCGUAUAAUAAUUAAAACCGCAUGGUUUUAGUUUAAAAGAUGGUCUUGCUAUCACUAAGAGAUGGUCCCGCGGUGUAUUAGUUAGUUGGUGAGGUAAUGGCUCACCAAGACAAUGAUACAUAGCCGAGUUGAGAGACGUGACCGGCCACAAUGGGACUGAGACACGGCCCA